GGGGCCCUGUGAUCAGCGCUCUGUUCUUGCACUUGUCUUUAUUUAUAUGCAAAAUAAUACAACAGUGAAUACGUCUAUUCAUAGGCAGAGGAAAGUUAGUGCGUAGGGAGUGAAGAUAAGAGUGGUUUAGGUGUAUGCGUGUGUGUUGUGAGAUUCAGAAAGACGCAGCCCUUCUUCUUGUUAGGGAGCGCAGAUAAAAGUAUCCAGCUCUCCUCUUCCUGCUUGUUCAGCUAUUAUCGCUGUGAGAAAGAAUUUAUAAAACAGUCUUGUAGUGGACAACAGUCUAAGUCAUCAAAAGGUCAACAUACAGUAUUCUAUCAUAUGCAAACUUAUAUCAUUAAAAGCUUAUACUGACUACUAAGUACAAUUUUCCAUUGACAUUCCCUCCUGUUGUCAGUAUAACUUUGAAGUGAGAUAUCAGUAUGUAACAUCUUGUUGUACAUUUUCUGUCACAUCAUCAUUAAUCACACAAAGUCUUCAUGUUCCAACAGGUCGGGGUCAUCAUCAUCAUCAUUUGUCACGGCUAUGUAUGCAGCAACAGUGGAAACAAUUAUACGGUUAAUCAUGAGUUUUAGACAUGGCAGGAUACAUGUUACAAAAACACAAAAUAAAAGUAAGAAUACAAAAAGGGAUAAAUAGAAUAAAAAAGAAUAAGAAUACAAAGGAAUUGAAAGUAUUUCAAGUAUUUCAAGUAUUGAAGUCUAUUGCACCGUUGGUUUUUAACAAAAAGUAUUGCACAGUGAAAAGGAGCAGUAGUCUUUUAGCAGUCACUUGUAUUAUUUACAUAGGCCUGAUUUUGGGCCUGCUGGAUCUGUCUCAAGGCGUUCAGGGCAUCAGUCAUGUUUGAUGAGUGUACAUUGUCUGAUGUGUGUGUGUCAUUUCUCACUCAAUCAACAAGUGCACGUCUGUUCAGGUGUGUGUUUCUCUUCAUUCUGAGUCAGUGUGUGUAGAUGUGUAUGUUUGUGUAUGUUGGCGUGUUUAUCACUUUCCUGUUCUGGUGUUUUGGGUAAACCACGGCCUGAAGCGUGCCCUGGGGUCCUGCCCUCCUCCUUUUCAGUCCGGUUGCGACCAUUGCUGCUGCUGCUCAUAGUUCAGUCUGUCCUGGUCCUGGCCCCAAUUGGGGCAGUCCUUUCUCCAGUGUCCAUGCUCACCACAGGUGAAACCUGCAUCUUCUUCUGUGUUUUGUCCAUUCUGAGGUGCCUUUUGACCUCAGUUGCUCCUCCUGUCUCUGGCACGCCCUUUCUUCUGCUGCCCGAUCAUCCGUGUUGGUCCGUCACUGUCCUGUACAGUGUUAAUGCAGAGUUAUCAAGGUCAGCAUUCUUUUGCUCGGCCUUACUUUUCAUUCGGGCUUAAUGGGCGUCUCGUCACAGCUCUGUCAGCUGAAGCUGUCUGGAAAUCUCCCCCGUGUAGUGAAACGGGCCUUGGAUUUAACGCUCUCCGUUUCUGCUGCAUGAG
ensembl:lncRNA